AUGUUAACGAAGCGACGUUAACAUCGGUUUUCAUAAAAUCGAUGUUAACGUCGCUUCGUUAACAU
rfam:Glycine soja cultivar W05 scaffold6424_1, whole genome shotgun sequence.